UUGGAACCAGACUCUCCUCCCAGCCACAGCAAGAUAAUAGCUGCUGGCUACAGCUAUUGAAAGAAUUCUCGAUUUCUUUCAAACUGCAGACUAGGAGUGAAAGCUGACGAGUAAGGAUGAAUCACUGGCCUUACUUCUAACACAAGGAAGGGAGCCUUGAAAGGUAAGA
rnacentral:lncRNA from 1 species